rnacentral:rRNA from 1 species
UGAGGAACAUGACCUUCGGCGGGGGGAUAGCCGGCCCAACGGCCGGGUAAUACCGCGUACGACCACAUGGGGACAUCCCUGAGUGGUGAAAGCAGCAAUGCGCCGAUGGAGUGCCUCGCGGCCUAUCAGCUAGUUGGUGUGGGUAAUGGCUCACCAAGGCUUCGGACGGGUAGCCGGCCUGAGGAGGGCCGACCCGGCCACACGUGGGACUGAGAUACGGCCCAGACCUCCGUACGGGAGCAG